rnacentral:rRNA from 1 species
AUUGAACGCUGGCGGCAUGCCUUACACAUGCAAGUCGAACGGCAGCACGGGUGCUUGCACCUGGUGGCGAGUGGCGAACGGGUGAGUAAUACAUCGGAACGUACCUUAUCGUGGAGGAUAACGCAGCGAAAGCUGUGCUAAUACCGCAUACGCCCUGAGGGGGAAAGCGGGGGAUCGAAAGACCUCGCGCGAUUAGAGCGGCCGAUGCCUGAUUAGCUUGUUGGUGGGGUAAAAGCCCACCAAGGCGACGAUCAGUAGCUGGUCUGAGAGGACGAUCAGCCGCACUGGGACUGAGACACGGCCCAGACUCCUACGGGAGGCAGCAGUGGGGAAUUUUGGACAAUGGGGGCAACCCUGAUCCAGCAAUGCCGCGUGAGUGAAGAAGGCCUUCGGGUUGUAAAGCUCUUUUGUCAGGGAAGAAACACCGGCUCUAACACAGUCCGGGAAUGACGGUACCUGAAGAAUAAGCACCGGCUAACUACGUGCCAGCCGCCGCGGUAA